rnacentral:lncRNA from 1 species
CACGGUGGAGGCGGCGACGUGCAGCCCGACGCAGCUGACCCCGUGCGCGCCGGCGAUCAUCGGGAACGCGGCGCCCAGCGCGGCGUGCUGCGGGAAGCUGAAGGCGCACCCGGCGAGCUGCCUCUGCAAGUACAAGAAGGACCCCAACCUGCAGCGCUACGUCAACUCCCCCAACGGCAAGAAGGUCUUCGCCGCAUGCAAGGCCCGCCUGCCAAGGUGCUGAACUAGCUAGUGCCACGAGCUUCAUCGAUCUCCCUCAAGCGUUGCACGUACACUACGUACAUUUGGCGAUGUGAUGGCCGUUCGAGUGCCUGCCGAGUAUGUGAGAUAAUAAAACGAGGGGAGUGCUAGGAGUACUUUAUUUUCAGCAUCAAUGAAUUGACAGCGCUGUACUAUAUUGGUACGGUGUGCCAGUUAUGUCCAUGUGUCAUGUAUACUCAUGCCAUGUCCUGUGUUAUGUCAGCAGAUAUAUGUCCUUGAAACUCCGUAUUAAUAAAGAUUCUAGUAGUGCAGUAAUAAUCAUAAAUAUUUUGUUAUGUUCCCUGUUCGCUCUAAAAAGAAAGUAAUCUUAAAAAAAAAUAGAAGAAAUACUAUAGUAACUGGAACUAGAAUAUGUGAGAAUAACACCCCUCCACAUCCUUACCAUAUAUCAAGAGACUCUAUGGCUUAAUAUAUUUCAGUUAUAAAAUACAUUCUAUGAGCUGGACAGCGCCUUGAGUGUCUCGCGUAGUACAUGACGCUGAAACGUAACGCACAAAGCGAGGCGGGGAGCUAUUGGCCCUGUUUGGAUACUCUAACCUGGUUAGAGUUAGAGUUAGAUUCUAACUUUUGAACUAACCUGAACUAACUCUAACGCUAAAGGUGUUUGGAUGGGAGGGUUAGAUGGACAAUAAAUGCUCUUUUUUAAUCAUUUGGUUACUUUGGACCUCUCUCUUUCUCUGGACCCCACCUACUCUAACCCAAAAAAGCACUUCUUGGGUGGGUUAGAGUUUUUGAGUGGGUUAGAUGCAUCUAACCAACUCUAACCCACCUGUUUGGAUCUUUGAGGAUUAGAUGGUUCAAAUCUAACCCACUCUAACUCUAACCCUAGGAUCCAAACAGGACCAAGAUCAAUUAGCUUCCUACUACGUUAGUACGUGCACGUAGAAAGAAAAGAACUGAUUGAUCCCUUCCCAUUCGUUUCUAGGUUAGCACGCGCGUAUUCAGGGAGCGACUCCCAAUUUUCUAGCUGCCGCCGAGGAUCCGUCUCUUCGCAACUACACUCACGGCGGAGCUCCUGUCCCCUUUUCUCCUAAAAAUCGAAUUUACGUCUCUAGUCUAGACCGCCGCAGAUUAUAAUCCCCAGGCAACUGUCGCUACCCCGCUUUGCUCUUUGUCCAUCAAUGAUUCGACCAUCCAAGGUACUUCCUCUGUAAACAAAUAUAUAAUAGUGUUUAGAUCACUACCUUAGUGAUCUAAACGCUCUUAUAUAUAUUUACGGAGAGAAUAUGUCUUAUACUCAUAUUGCGGUUCCUAGUCUCCUAGACCAAUAAUCAUCACAUCGACAGUCUUAAACAAUUAUCAAUUGAUGCAAAUAUAUAUAUAUAUAUAUAUUCAGCAUUAUGUCUUAUCAUGUCAUCCGAAAGGAAGUAUAAAUCUGGUAGUGAUAAAAGGUAAAAGGAAAAAAACAUUGGAUGAUUUGGUACAACCACAACACGUAAAUAUUCAUAUAUUGUUUAAGAGUACUACUGUACAUCCACUACUUCAAUAAACCCAACUAAUCGGAAUUCAAAAUCUGAUCAGCAAGAAAAUAAUGUUGACACCAUAUUGUGGUUCUUAGAAUGUAGCUAAUUCAUCUGAUGCACAUGCACAGUCCGCUAGGGUUGAUGAACAAGAAGUUUAUACUACUAAUAUUUACCGUCCAAGAAGUCGGGAUAAUCUUGGUAAUAAAACAAGGCACAUCUUAGUUGAGAAAGGGCCUAUGAGAGAGAACAAACAAAUGGACUACCAUCUAGAUGAUGAAAGACGAUGUUUUUCAUAUUCUCAUUAUGACAGGAAAUUAAGUAAUGGAAAAGAACAGUGAGUCAAAAGAGGUUACAUGGUUUGGUAACAUUAUGCACCGAGAAGAAAUUAUUGGAUUAUCUUGACAUCGAUUCAAUCAUAAGUAAUUUCGCAUCGAGGAAUGUUAGAACAAACUUUUAGGCGAAUACGUAUGAAUUAUUUCAUAUAUAUGUAUAUUCAUUUUCAUUGUUAUGAAGUCUACAUUAAGGGCCCCGAGUUUUAGUUUCACACCGGGCCCCCAAAAUCUCAGGACCGGACAUGUGUAAAAGCACGAGGCAAUUGUUGUGGACGAAGCUCUUGUCGACCAGGUUGGCCUGACUUCUUCCGUCGUUCAUUGCAAUUGGACCUUGAUAGUACAUCUUCGGUGUGCACAGAUCAGGGAUGCUCACACUUAACCUCUUCUCCAAGACAUUAUUGGGGAGUAUACAUCAAGUGAUAAAAGCAUUAACAUAAUACUAAGAAUGGAUAAAUUCACGAAAAUGAUAAAUCUGGAACGUCCAGAUUUCAAGCAUGGCAACCCGAACAUUUUCCAUGGCAACCUUAGUUCACGUGAUGUUGGCAAACAUGGCAAUUUUCUGACAAAAAGAAUUGGGGCAAAGUUACCAUGCUUUAACAACUAAAGUUACCACCAUGCGUCAACUAAAGUUGCCAUGAAAAAAGUUUGGGAUGACAUGCUUAAAAAUCUGAAUGUCAGAAAUUAUCGGGUCCUAAAUUUAAAAAGGGAAAGGAAGGUGACAUGUGCACUUGAAGGAGCUUUGUAAGCCUGAGACUUGAAAACCUUUACCAAGAAGAUAACCAGAAGCAGUGCUUAAAAGAGUCGCACUAGCAUUGUCAAUGGGCCUCACAAACUGAGGCCUUGCACAAUAGAACAACAUUAUCAUUUUUCUUAGGGUUCAUCUACUAGCUGGCCAUUGAAAGAUGAUGCAAAUUAACAAGUGUUGUCGGCAUUGACGAAAGGUCGUAUUACACCGAGAUAACAUUGCAAACCUAAAUCUCAUUGGAUUAUUUCAUUCCUCCACUUUGAGGUGGUAUGCAAACACCAUCAAACAAACAUUCCGUCAAACAACCGGUACCUUGACCACUAAAUCCACCAUGGGGACAAUACUAUGCUUUGUAAAAAAAUGAGGAUGUCCACCUACAGUGUUGAAAUGCGCAUAUAAUAUCAACCGAGACCCCACCAGAAACACGAAGCUCAUAGCAUUACCAAUGACCAUCACCAUUGGACGAAGUCGAGCAUGGGUCGCGGUACAUGACCAGCUUGAGGAGGAGAGAUGGAAGCACUAUGAUGCGAUGCGAUGUCACUAUCGAACUAGUCAUCAACACAUCGGCUGAUGAACGUAAUAAACCCACUGUAAUGCCAAGCAUAAGCACUAACAACAGUUAUGGGUGACUAGUCAUCGAGCUUUCUCCUAGAACCACGGACGUUUCAAGAUGGGGCAAAGCAGGGGCACCCCUUGCCAAUGUUUCGAUUUUACUUAAUUAUUACUAGCACUAGAUUGGAUCAUUAAUACCCCACCCCCUUCCCCGGAAGUAACCUAAGGCCUAUGCCAAUGCAUCAUUUGUUAGCACGUUAUCAUAGGAGCAUUAAUAAAUUAAGACUACUAGCCCAAUUCAUUGUUUCUUAGAGGUUGUCUUUAAAUUUGAUGAUUUGGUGCUCAUGCAUAAAUGUGAUUGGGCUAUUAACCAUUUUUACCUACGGUUGUGUGCAAAUGUUGUACUAUCUUAGCUAAGAACAAUCCUACUCUCUCUCAUCAUUAACUAGUGUGACACAUCAGUGAAACGUCUAUGAAUCCGCGCUAAGAAACCUCCAAUGUCACAGGCUUAAAAUAUACUGAAUAUCUCCUUGGUUGAACCCUUUAGUCGACUACCUGAGGCAGGUCCAAUAUAUAAAAAGUGGCCCGAUCAGGACACCUUAGCUCAUAUAAAAAAGAAAGAGGACAAAUUAUAAUAUUUGUUGUUUUAUUACAGUAACUAGAGUACACAAAGAUGGUGGCGUGAGGCGAUCUGUGACACUUGCAUGAAUUAUUACAGUGCACAUAAAUUUCUAUAUAAUGUUGCAUAUAUUGUAAUAUCCUUAAAUAUCUACUUUUGAUCAGGUAUAUAUCCUUUAAAAUUUUGGUACAUAUCUUCAAGUGUAGGAUCAAUAUGUUGCUACAGGUUUCUAGUGUAUGACUAUGUGUGCACAAAUAAAUAAUAGGACUGUAUACAUGAUAUUUAUGAGGAGCUUGUCAUUGAAUAGUUGGCAUCGUUAGUUUACUCAUUUUUCAUGGUAGGAUGUGUUCUAUAUAUUUUUUGAGUUCGGUAAUGAGCUGACUAUAUAAUACAUGUGCAUGCUCCAUAGAUAUGAAAUCCAAAGAACAUGGCCUCUAACCAACACAAAAAAAUAUAUUAUUAUAGUAGGUUUUUCUUUCUUUGUCCAUAAUUAGCAUAAAACUGCAAUUUAAUAUUGAAGUAAUUUUGUCUUGCACCCCUUAACCUGCUCAAUACUAGCCCAACUGAGUAGAACUUACGCAUUCAUCGUGUUGACUUAAAUUUAGCUAUAACAAACUAAAUACAUGAUUUAAAAUAUAGACUAGUAAUACCAUGCAAAACGUAUAAAAUUUUGGUAUAAAUAUCAUUUAGGUUUUUAAUAGAUAUUCCUCAAAUGCUUAGGGAUAACCCUUUUUAGGCGUUUGGUUCCUUGAGAAGGUGCGAUUUUCAGGGAUAUGGACAGCCAAGGUUCCUGAAAUAUACUCGAAAUGUGGUUGAGCGGAGCCGUGAAAAUCUGACGGAUAUAACAACCACCCCACACGGAUGAAAUGUUUUUCCUUCUAUUUUGCUUACCAACUAUUUCCCCCAUCUUGUCUCUUCCAUGACCUGGUGUGACGGCACAAACCGUGGGCGACGGCGGUCGAACCAAUGAAAACGACGGUGACGCGUCAUGGAAGAGAGUGACAACUGAAUUUAAGCAUGAGCGGUGUUGAACAUGUCCAUGUUUUUGACCCCAUGGAACGGGUUGCCUCCAUGGUGCGGGCAGUGGAGCCAACCAUGGCUUGUAAUACUCCGACCAUGGCACGGUUUAUACCGUGGGUACGUUCAUCUGGGCACCGCAGCCUCUGCCGCGACGUCUGCCACGCCCGUCACAACGACAAAGUCUGACGCCACCACCACGCCCACAGGCGGCCAACAACUUCUUUAGAUUUUCCUCCUUUCUGACCUUCGUUUUGAUGUAAUGAGCUUGCCGCAUAGCUGAGCUGAUAUUUUGAGCGAGCAGCAUGAUCGGAUACUCCGGCACCUCUGCCACCUCCAUCUUCAUAGGUUCUGCUCUGGUUCGAUGAAUCGGUGGCGGAAGGAAGGAGAGGGCAAGCAAUAUGAGAUAAAAUUGAUGGAGAUCGUCGUGGAAUGGAAGAAGGGGGUGGGGGAUUUUGGCGCAGAAACAGUGUUGGUCACUACAAAAGCACAUGGUCCGCCUUUCUUUUGGAUGGGGCAGGGUGAUUAUAGGCAGACGUUUCUCGUGUUCGGACUCCCGCAACCCCCUCUACCAACGUAUGUUCUGGUUUGCGGGACAAUUAUGAUCUGAAGUGUGCUGCAGACGGAUGCAUGACCGCGUUGCAUGGUUUUCAAAGUUCAAACUGUGCGGUCCGGAUGAAUGCGGACGGUUUGAGGUUCGGCAUUGGAGAUGCCCUUAGGUGCAAUCAUAUUAUGCACAAACCUAAAAAAAGACAUGUCUCUCUUAUUGUCAUAUUUGAUUUUGAAACCAAGGAAAUUUUAAUAGGUUGGACACGAUGGAUUGUUUUUGUUGAAAUUGCUAGCAAGCACACCAUAAGUUUUUUUUCGUGAAUCCAAUGCUACAAAGGAACAAUAUUUAAUUAUUUAUAAGAAAAAAUUCUACAAUUUUCAAUCAUGUUCAAUUCCUUGACCUAAAGUCACUCAAAAUGUGAUGACUUAAUCGUGGAAAUGAUGACCCAUGCUCACACUGUCAUACUGCCUCAAGUCCUCGACAGUCCAUGAAGCUCGAUCGAUUCUCUUCCUCAAUCAUCGCCGUCCCAAAAGGAUACGACCAGUGCGCAUCUAGCCGAACACCCCUCUACGUGUAACUCAGCAGUGCAUAGAGCCGAGACUUUCCUUGAUCGUUUCGGCACGAUCAUGAUGUGUUCCACUGACCCACCGUGAUCAUCAGGCUGCCCAUGUUCACAUAGGAAAAAGCGCAACACGUCACCCCGAUCCGCACCGUCCGAUGCGACACGCGCCGUCUCGAUCGGUCCCUAUUGCAGCUCUGUGUCCGCGCGCAUGUUGAUCGGUAGUGCACGCAUGCUUGAUGCUUCCGCGUUGCACACCGUCACCGUAUCGCGCACCGCACCUACUACGUGCUGCGGCGGCCUAUAAAACGCACCAUCGACCACGCCCAUUCUCCACAACCCAGCCAUCACUCAACUCCUCACGUACGCACAGUCGCGCACACACUACUUCCCUUUCCAUCCGAGCCCAAGAAGCAACCAUGGCGGCAUCGAAGGCCACCCUCGUCUGCUUCAUGAUCGUGGCGCUGGCGGCCGCGCUGCUGGCGGCGCCUGGCACGGUGGAGGCGGCGACGUGCAGCCCGACGCAGCUGACCCCAUGCGCGCCGGCGAUCAUCGGGAACGCGGCGCCCAGCGCGGCGUGCUGCGGGAAGCUGAAGGCGCACCCGGCGAGCUGCCUCUGCAAGUACAAGAAGGAUCCCAACCUGCAGCGCUACGUCAACUCCCCCAACGGCAAGAAGGUCUUCGCCGCAUGCAAGGCCCGCCUGCCAAGGUGCUGAGCGAUUGAUUCACGACCGUUGCACGUACACUACUCGUGUGGUAUAGCAUGGUUUUGCGAUGUCAGGUGAGGU